rnacentral:rRNA from 1 species
GACGAACGCUGGCGGCGUGCUUAACACAUGCAAGUCGAACGAAGUGGCGAACGGGGGAGAAAUACGUGGGUAACAUGCACUCCUUUUGGGGAUAAGCCUUGGAAACGGGGGCUAAAACCGAAUAAAGGGGGAUGGGCUCGCGGCCUAUCAGCUGGUUGGGGGGGGGAUUGCCUACCAAGGCGGUGACGGGUAGCCGGGCUGAGCGGGUGACCGGCCACUACUGUACGGUGCUACGGCCCACGCUGCUACGGGAGGCAGCAGUGGGCGCUAUUGCACAAAGGGUGAAAGCCCGAUGCCGCGACGCCGCUGGGGGGAUGAAGGUUUUCGGGUUGUAAACCUGUUUCGGUAUCGAACCGGUAGGUGGAGAAGAAGCGCCGGCUAACUCCGUGCCAGCAGCCGCGGUAAUUC